CAGCAGCCGCCACGGUAAUACAGAGGGUGCGAGCGUUAAUCGGAUUUACUGGGCGUAAAGCGUGCGUAGGCGGCUUCUUAAGUCGGAUGUGAAAUCCCUGAGCUUAACUUAGGAAUUGCAUUCGAUACUGGGAAGCUAGAGUAUGGGAGAGGAUGGUAGAAUUCCAGGUGUAGCGGUGAAAUGCGUAGAGAUCUGGAGGAAUACCGAUGGCGAAGGCAGCCAUCUGGCCUAAUACUGACGCUGAGGUACGAAAGCAUGGGGAGCAAACAGGAUUAGAUACCCCAGUAGUCCCUGUCUCUUAUAC
rnacentral:rRNA from 1 species